GGCGACCGGCGCACGGGUGAGUAACGCGUAUGCAACCUGCCCUUCACAGGGGGAUAACCGGGAGAAAUUCCGACUAAUACCGCAUACGUCCUCCGGGGGCAUCCCCUGGGGAUGAAAGAUUUAUCGGUGAAGGAUGGGCAUGCGUGAUAUUAGGUAGUUGGCGGGGCAACGGCCCACCAAGCCCACGAUAUCUAGGGGUUCUGAGAGGAAGGUCCCCCACAUUGGUACUGAGACACGGACCAAACUCCUACGGGAGGCAGCAGUGAGGAAUAUUGGUCAAUGGACGAGAGUCUGAACCAGCCAAGUCGCGUGAAGGAAGACGGAUCUAUGGUUUGUAAACUUCUUUAGUGCGGGAACAAAGCGGCGUCGUGACGCCGGAUGAGUGUACCGCAAGAAUAAGCAUCGGCUAACUCCGUGCCAGCAGCCGCGGUAAUACGGAGGAUGCGAGCGUUAUCCGGAUUUAUUGGGUUUAAAGGGAGCGCAGGCUGCGAGGCAAGUCAGCGGUCAAAUGUCGGGGCUCAACCCCGGCCUGCCGUUGAAACUGUCCUGCUAGAGUUCGAGUGAGGUAUGCGGAAUGCGUUGUGUAGCGGUGAAAUGCAUAGAUAUGACGCAGAACUCCGAUUGCGAAGGCAGCAUAC
rnacentral:rRNA from 1 species